CCCAGACUCCUACGGGAGGCAGCAGUGGGGAAUAUUGCACAAUGGGCGCAAGCCUGAUGCAGCCAUGCCGCGUGUAUGAAGAAGGCCCUAGGGUUGUAAAGUACUUUCAGUCGGGAGGAAGGCGUUGUUGCUAAUAUCAACAACGAUUGACGUUACCGACAGAAGAAGCACCGGCUAACUCCGUGCCAGCAGCCGCGGUAAUACGGAGGGUGCAAGCGUUAAUCGGAAUUACUGGGCGUAAAGCGCACGCAGGCGGUUGAUUAAGUU
rnacentral:rRNA from 1 species